CCGCAUGCGCGCGCGGCUUUGGUAAAGAGGCUGGAGUUUCUGGCUCGGCGAGGGGCAGGGGUCUCGCUAUGUUGUCCAGACUGGUAUUGAACUCCUGGGCUCAGGCGAUCUUCCUGCCUCAGCCUCGCAAAGUGCUGGGAUUAUAGGGGUGAUCCCCCGCCCUCGGCCAAAUGGCACACACUUUGAUGGAAGAGUUUAAAGAACGCUGUGCUCAGUGUGCUGCUGUCUCAUGGGGUCUUACUGAUGAAGGCAAAUAUUAUUGCACUUCUUGCCACAAUGUUACAGAGAGAUAUCAGGAAGUUACAAACACUGAUCUUAUUCCUAAUACCCAAAUAAAAGCCCUCAACCGGGGGCUUAAAAAAAAAAACAAUACUGAAAAAGGCUGGGAUUGGUAUGUGUGUGAAGGUUUCCAGUACAUUCUUUAUCAACAAGCAGAAGCCUUAAAGAACCUUGGAGUAGGCCCAGAGUUAAAGGGAAUGUCUUGUGUGUUAUUCACAAUUUGAGAACAAAAUCGUUUGGUGUAUGUACAUAACGUCUAUCAGGACUUGAGUUCCACAGAAUGCACUUUGGACAGUGAUAUGCUAAACCAGUCGUUCACCUGAGUGUGCAUCAGAAUCACCUG
rnacentral:sRNA from 1 species